UCUUGGGUUGGAAUUGCAGAACG
rnacentral:miRNA from 1 species